rnacentral:rRNA from 1 species
UACGGAGGGUGCGAGCGUUGUCCGGAAUCAUUGGGCGUAAAGGGCGCGUAGGUGGCCCGGUAAGCGUGCGGUGAAAGCUUGGGGCUCAACCCCGAGUCGGCCGUGCGAACUGCUGGGCUAGAGCACUGUAGAGGCAGGCGGAAUUCCGGGUGUAGCGGUGGAAUGCGUAGAGAUCCGGAAGAACACCGGUGGCGAAGGCGGCCUGCUGGGCCAGGUGGCUGACACUGAGGCGCGACAGCGUGGGGAGCAACAGG